UCAUAUUCUCAAGCUUUACACAUAAAGAAAGUGAAAAGCUUAGAAAAGGCUCGGGGAGCAGCACCACUUCUGCCUUACAGCAAAGGAAAAGGCUCUCAUAAGGUGGAAGUUUUAAAACAGAGCCUGAGUGACAGUUUCAAUUUGGGAACAAUCUAGAGGACCGACCCUUCAGCUGAGGGGGAAGAAAAAAAAAUGCAUUUGUAUCCUAAAGUAGGAAUGUAGUCUGCCUGAAGGUUAAAGACAUUGAAUUAAUGUUUGAACCAUUUACUCAUUACAUGUUCCAGAACACAAGUUCUUAAGUUGGAAUCUGGGUCCUUUUCAACUACUAGGUGUGUGCCAGAAACAGAGUCCUGUAUAUGAG